rnacentral:rRNA from 1 species
AGAGUUUGAUCAUGGCUCAGGAUGAACGCUGGCGGCGUGCCUAAUACAUGUAAGUCGAACGGAAGAUGUAGCAAUAUGUCUUUAGUGGCGAACGGGUGAGUAACGCGUUGGUGACCUGCCCCGAAGAGAGGGAUAACAGACCGAAAGGUUUGCUAAUACCGCGUAAUUUCCUUCUAGUUAGAGAGGAGGGAAGAAAGGCCGAAAGGCGCUUUGGGAGGGGCCUGCGUCCCAUCAGCUAGUUGGCGAGGUAAAAGCUCACCAAGGCGAUGACGGGUAGGGGACCUGAGAGGGUGACCCCCCACAAUGGAACUGAAACACGGUCCAUACACCUACGGGUGGCAGCAGUAGGGAAUAUUGGUUAAUGGGCGAAAGCCCGACCCAGCAACGCCGCGUGCACGAAGAAGGCCUUCGGGUUGUAAAGUGCUUUUUAGUGGGAUGAGGAAGGACAGUACCACUAGAAUAAGUCUCGGCUAACUACGUGCCAGCAGCCGCGGUAACACGUAGGAGACGAGCGUUAUCCGGAUUUACUGGGUGUAAAGCGCGUGCAGGCGGUCGGGUAAGUUGGAUGUGAAAGCUCCUGGCUUAACUGGGAGAGGUCGUUCAAAACUGCCGGGCUAGAGUGCAACAGAGGGGAGUGGAAUUCCGAGUGUAGCGGUAAAAUGCAUAGAUAUUCGGAAGAACACCAGUGGCGAAGGCGGCUCUCUGGGUUGCAACUGACGCUCAGACGCGAAAGCUAGGGUAGCGAACGGGAUUAGAGACCCCGGUAGUCCUAGCCGUAAACGAUGUGGACUUGGCGUGGGUGGGUUGAAAUCCAUCUGUGCCGAAGCAAACGCGAUAAGUCCACCACCUGGGGACUACGGCCGCAUGGUUAAAACUCAAAGGAAUUG